GUGCUUGGUUCAGCAGUACAUAUACUAAAAUUGGAACACUACAGAGAUUAACAUGGCCCCUACACAAGGAUGACACACAAAUUUGUGAAGCAUUUCAUAUUUUU